rnacentral:tRNA from 1 species
GGGCGGGUAGCUCAGCGGUAGAGCGGCGGCUUUACACGCCGUUGGUCGCAGGUUCGAUCCCUGUCCCGCCCA